rnacentral:rRNA from 1 species
GACGAACGCUGGCGGCGUGCCUAAUACAUGCAAGUCGAGCGAAGUUUUUCUGGUGCUUGCACCGGAAAAACUUAGCGGCGAACGGGUGAGUAACACGUAAAGAACCUGCCUCAUAGACUGGGACAACUAUUGGAAACGAUAGCUAAUACCGGAUAACAGCAUUAACCGCAUGGUUGAUGUUUAAAAGUUGGUUUUGCUAACACUAUGAGAUGGCUUUGCGGUGCAUUAGCUAGUUGGUGGGGUAAAGGCCUACCAAGGCGACGAUGCAUAGCCGACCUGAGAGGGUGAUCGGCCACACUGGGACUGAGACACGGCCCAGACUCCUACGGGAGGCAGCAGUAGGGAAUCUUCCGCAAUGGGCGAAAGCCUGACGGAGCAACGCCGCGUGAGUGAAGAAGGAUUUCGGUUCGUAAAGCUCUGUUGUUAGGGAAGAAUGAUUGUGUAGUAACUAUACACAGUAGAGACGGUACCUAACCAGAAAGCCACGGCUAACUACGUG